AACGCACAUUGCGCUUCCUGGUAUUCCGGGGAGCAUGCCCGUUUCAGAAUCAUUAAAAUCUCAUAAUACUUGCUUGUGCAUUAUUCCUGUAAUGAUACACAUGGCAAGUUUUGUGGAUUUUGGAUGAUUUGUCAUUUGACAAUCAUUUGAAAUUGAUUGUAUGUGCUCCAAUUGCGUAUGUCUUUUGGGACUCUAAAGUGCAACAGAUUAUAUCUAUUCUCUUUGGUACUUAAGGAUGUACUUUGGUGUAUGUAACCAAACGUUAUUAUACAGACUCUAUAUACCAAUGUGUAUGGUUUCUGAUAACUUGGUCUGAAAUCGGGCAAGAAAACCCGCUGAACUUAA
rnacentral:misc_RNA from 1 species